GUUUGACAAAAUAUGUCAUAUCGGCCGGCGGGCGCAGUACUAAUGCGUUACCCAGCAUUGUGAAACAUGUUGAAAGUGAGAAUUUGUUUGAAGUU